rnacentral:rRNA from 1 species
GACGAACGCUGGCGGCGUGCUUAACACAUGCAAGUCGAACGGAAAGGCCCUGCUUGCAGGGUACUCGAGUGGCGAACGGGUGAGUAACACGUGGGUGAUCUGCCCUGCACUUCGGGAUAAGCCUGGGAAACUGGGUCUAAUACCGGAUAGGAGCCAUUUUUAGUGUGAUGGUUGGAAAGUUUUUUCGGUGUAGAAUGAGCUCGCGGCCUAUCAGCUUGUUGGUGGGGUAAUGGCCUACCAAGGCGGCGACGGGUAGCCGGCCUGAGAGGGUGGACGGCCACAUUGGGACUGAGAGACGGCCCAGACUCCUACGGGAGGCAGCAGUGGGGAAUAUUGCACAAUGGGCGCAAGCCUGAUGCAGCGACGCCGCGUGGGGGAUGACGGCCUUCGGGUUGUAAACUCCUUUCGCUAGGGACGAAGCUUUUUGUGACGGUACCUAGAUAAGAAGCACCGGCUAACUACGUG